CCUACGGGGUGCAGCAGUGAGGAAUAUUGGUCCAUGGGCGCGAGCCUGAACCAGCCAAGCCGCGUGAGGGAAGAAGGUACUGCGGAUCGUAAACCUCUUUUGUCAGGGAGCAAAAGAGGCCACGAGUGUCCUUACGAGGGUACCCGAAGAAAAAGCAUCGGCUAACUCCGUGCCAGCAGCCGCGGUAAUACGGAGGAUGCGAGCGUUAUCCGGAUUUAUUGGGUUAAAGGGGUGCGCAGGCGGAAGAUUAAGUCAGCGGUAAAAUUGAGGGGCUCAACCUCUUCGAGCCGUUGAAACUGGUGUGCUGGAGUUGGAGAGAAGUACGCGGAAUGCGUGGUGUAGCGGUGAAAUGCAUAGAUAUCACGCAGAACCCCGAUUGCGAAGGCAGCAUACCGGCGCUCAACUGACGCUCAGGCACGAAAGUGUGGGUAUCGAACAGGAUUAGAUACCCCAGUAGUC
rnacentral:rRNA from 1 species